GGGCGGCCUCGCCCCUGGGCAUUUCCGCGGUUGUCCUCCGGCCCUCGCUGGGGUGCGUGGAGCGGCGCAGGUCGGGUGAGGGCGCGGGUGGCCCCGGACGCCCCGCUCCGGCCCCUCGGAGGGGAGCGGCGCGGAGGGGCGGGGCGGGGUGCGUGUGUAAAUGUUGCGCACUCGCUUUUCCCCCACCCCCGCCUUCUUCUAGGGUGCUGGCGUGGGUUCCUCGCCGUCCGGCGGCGACUGUAAAUAGAGCCUGGAUGUUGUUUACAUGAAGGAUCCGGCGGGAGGAGUCUGCGAGGAGGAGGCGGAGGAGGAGGGAGGGAGGAGAGAGGAAGAACGGAGUCCCCGCGGCGGCGGCGGUCCGGGGUGAGGGGGAGCCCCGCGCGGCGUCCAGGGACCGGACGCUACCACGAGGCCGGGACGCUAGACCCUAGGAAGGGGGAAGGGACUUGGAGAUCGCCUGCUCCUGGCCGCAACUGAACCCACGGCUUCUCCCUGCCUUCCCGGGCCAAGGAAUCUUUUCCCUCACUCAGCUACCCGCAUGCCAGCUGCCACCUUUUUGGAGAAGGACCACACCUGUGCUUAUUCUCGCUUUGGAGGAGAGAUGCAGGACUAAAAGCUCUGAGAAUGGUGGACUCUGCAGAAAAGAGGAGUUUAAUUGUGUUUCUGGAACGGCUCAGUGUUCUAGAACUUGAGGUCAGUGAAAGUCUUUGGUAUUGCCCCUGUUAGCUGGCCCUUCAGGGAAUUUCAAAAUCUAAGACCCGGCAUUUUUACAUGGCAGUGCUGUAAUAAUGAGGAAGUUAUAGAUUAAUUAGGGACAGGGUGUUUAGAGAUGGUUAGCUUAGGUAGAUCAUUUUGAAUAGUUAUUUUAAAAAGAUUUAAUACAGAGGUGAAAUCAGAAUAAAACGGACUUGUGAGCGGACUCUAAAAUCUAAACUCUGGGGAAAAAAAUGGAAUCUAGAGCAAAAUCAGAAAGCAAAGUAACUGGAAUAGACGGUUGGACUAAAAGUGUGUAUGUGGAGUGUGUGUGUUGCGAGGAAAAGGCUAAUGAUAGAAUUUAUGGGAUAAUCCAUUUAUUUGUAAAUUUUUAGUCUCCUGUAGCUUUUUUGGACUAAAAUCCCCGUUAAAAUAAAUAAGAAAGCAUGUUCUUUCUCUGUGUUAUUGUGUACAUACUUCUUUGAUAGGUCUUUUCCUUGAGAUGGAUCUCUUGGGGUUAUGUGGUAGGAGAGGACUUGGAGGUCAGUGCUGGAAGUGGGUAAAAUAUGACACUCCCUUUAUAAUGCCUCCCAGUUAAUGCUUCUCUGUGAGAAUCAGGGUGGACAUUGCACAGGGCAGUGGUCCUUGACUUCUCUUUGCCUUUUUAGCCAGUUUCUUUUCUCCUUAAAAAAAAAAAUACCUGUAAUUCCCUCACUCUAGGUCUCCUAAUAAUCUCUAGCAGAAGUUAGUUUUUAAAAAGUGUUGAUACAGCAGAGCUUUGCAGUGAUACGCAUGUGUACAUUCCUGUACUUCUAACAAAGCAGUAAUUGAUAUUUGAGCAUUUUUUGUUGACAGUAAAUUUUUAUAACAUCACAGUUGGGUCAGAUAUGCACAUUUUAUAACAUUGAGUUGGAUUUCGGUUUUCAAGUUGGGAAAAAAGUCACACUUUAGUAAAAGCCUGGUGGAUUUAAUUAAACAAUCUUAUUUAAACUAUUGUGUUUGAAGUGUUUUGUAAAUACUUGGCAUUGUCAGCAGCUUAUUUUAUGGUGCCUCCAGUUAUUUACUGAGAUAUUUAAAGGUUUAAAAUCAUAUUUUCAUUUUUGGUCUACAGGUAAGAGAGAUGUGACAUGUUCUUUGUGUGUUCAUUUAUACUCCCCAAGAUUGAUUGAUUGAUUUUGUUUAUUUAUUUUGAGAGAGAGUCUGAGUGGGGUAAGGGCAGCGAGAGAGAAGAGGGAGAGAAUCCCAUUCAGGCUCUGCACUGCCAGCUGCAGACCCGAUGCAGGGCUUGAACUCACAAACGGUGAGAUCAUGACCUGGGACUGAAACCAAUAGAUGGUUAACUGACUGAACCUCCCAGCCGCCCCAGUACUCUGCAAUAUUUAAAAGCAAGUUCUUUACUAUACCAGUUUGCCACAAGUACUUAAUUUAUUGAUAAUAUUUGGUGCAUGCAUCAUGAAGAAAUUGUUCUCAGUUUGUAUCAUUUUUAUCAUAGAACUUUAAAAUCAAUUUGAUCUCGGUAGGAAACAUCACUAUUUUGUUUCUUCUCUUACUUUGCAGUAUAGUUUGGUAUGUAGCAUGAGUACCUGCAGUCACCUGUUUUAAUAUUAAAACAGUUCCAUUUUUAUAAGAAAAAUCUCUUGAGAAAGAAAUGUUUCAGAUUUGAUUUUUUAAAAUGGACAUUUAUAAAGAAUAAUUUCCAAGAAGAAAUAAGACUUUGCAUCUCUGAAGUUUAUUUAUCAGUAUUUAUAAAAUACAAUAACCCAUAUUUUUCUUCCUUGAAACUGCUUUAGAAUUAUUCUGAGAGCAUUAGUGUAAGUAACCACUCACAGUAUGAUGACAAUUUGCUUUUUAUCACUUGGUCUGUGAGGUGUUGUUUUUUUUGUUUGUGUGUGUAUGUGUUUUAUUUUUUGAUCCCACUUUAGACAAAGUGAGAGAAAAAUAAGAAAAUAUCUUUUAUAUAAUGUGCCAGAAAUGUUUAGUUAUGUGGAUUUUGGUCAUGGCUAAAUAAAGUGAAUUUCAGCUUUGCAGUACAAUACGAACUAAGUUCAUCUUGGCGUACUUCACAUUUAGAUGUUCAGUUACAUUAAUACUGAACCUUGUGUAGAACAGUCUAUUCACCACUAAGUAUAUCAAGGCUGCUUAUUUGUUCCCAUAACUUGUCCACCCUUCAGUGUCUCAGAGUAAGUACUCCUCUUUUCCGUACUGACAGAACUUGUAUCCAGGAAAUGUUAGGUGGUAAUCUUCUUAUCCUCUUUGACAGAUCAGCUAUCUAAAAUUUUAUUCUCAAGUAAUCACAAUAUCUUUGUUCAUGUAACAGAUGUUUAUAAUUUGGGUGAAAAUGUGCAGCUAUUUCCAGGAACCUAAGGUUACGAGAUCCAACUUUUUUUUUUAAGCUUCGUUGCCCUCUCGUGUUUCAACUCUGUAUUACAUCAGUUGGCUAAAACCUAGGCAUUGUGACCUCCUUGAGUUUUAGAUAUUUAGAGAAUGUUUUAAUUUGUGUGAAGGUGGGUUAUUUCAUUGGAUGCUACUUUUCUGAAGAUAAGGUCAGUUUCAUAGUGCAUAAAGUCACUGUACUCCUGUUUUCUGCUUCUCAUCUAAAGAAUUGACUCAUAACAUCUGUCUUAUUUGAAGUACAGUGCUAAUAUCUAAUUUGCAUAUAAUGAAUCAUUGAAACUGAGAAAAUGCCUAAUUGAAAACAUAAUUAUUUUUCAAAUAUCUGUCGAGUUCCACUCAUAUUGAAAUAACUUGAGAUCUUAUGACUGACAUGGAAAAAAACCGAGUGGAAUCAUAGUUUUAAUAAGUUGACAAUCUAAAACCUGAAUUCCAAUUUCAGAAUCUUUUUGUACUUUUUAUUAAAAGUAAGAAUCAUCCCUCAAAUGACUUCAUGGUACAGCUCAAAGGUACAGAUAAUUUCAAAGCAAGUGAUCUGUGUGUAUGUUGAUUUUUUUUUUUUUUAAAUGCAUUCCAGAGGUUGUCAGUGGUUCUUGCACCGCCAUAAAUGUAGAAUUGACGUUAACUGUAGUGGAAAACACCCUGCAGGUGUGCUAAGUACAUAAUUGUCAUCGGUGUCAUCAAUUUGAGUACGUCCUUGGAACUGAGAGUAAGAAUAAUCAAAGUCAUUUUUUUUCUUUUUUGCUAACGUGCAUUUCUCCUUAAAGCAUAAAAUCCCC